GAUGAACGCUGGCGGCGUGCCUAAUACAUGCAAGUCGAGCGAACAGACGCGGAUCUUGUUCCUCUCACGUUUGCGGCGGACGUGUGAGUAACACGAGGAUACUCUACCUAUAAGACUGAGAUAACUUCGGGAAACCGGAGCUAAUACCGGAUAAUCUAUUGCACCGUAUGGUUCAAUAGUGAAAUACGGUUUUGCUGUCACUUAUAGAUGCAUCUGCGCCGCAUUAGCUAGUUGGUAAGGUAACGGCUUACCAAGGCGACGAGGCGUAGCCGACCUGAUAGAGUGAUAGGCCACACUGGAAGGGAGACACGGUCCAGACUCCUGAGAGAGGCAGCAGUAGGGAAUGUGACGCAGUGGGCGAAAGCAUGACGGAGCGACGCCGAGUGAGUGAUAAAGGUCUUGGGAUCGUAAAACUCUGUUAUUAGGGGAGAACAAAUGUGUAAGUAAAUGUGCACGGCUUGACGGUACCUAGUCAGAAAGCCACGGCUAACUACGUG
rnacentral:rRNA from 1 species